AUGAACGCUAGCGACAGGCCUAACACAUGCAAGUCGAGGGGCAGCACAAGGAGCAAUCUGAGGUGGCGACCGGCGCACGGGUGAGUAACACGUAUGCAACCUGCCUGUAAGCGGGGAAUAACCCGUUGAAAGACGGACUAAUACCGCAUAAUACUAAAUUACUGCAUGGUAAUUUAUUUAAACAUUUAUGGCUUACAGAUGGGCAUGCGCAUGAUUAGCUAGUUGGAGAGGUGACGGCUCCCCAAGGCAACGAUCAUUAGGGGUUCUGAGAGGAAGGUCCCCCACACUGGUACUGAGACACGGACCAGACUCCUACGGGAGGCAGCAGUGAGGAAUAUUGGUCAAUGGACGAGAGUCUGAACCAGCCAAGUCGCGUGCAGGAAGAAUGUCCUAAUGGAUUGUAAACUGCUUUUGCAGGGGAAUAAAGUGCAUCACGUGUGAUGUUUUGUAUGUACUCUGCGAAUAAGGAUCGGCUAACUCCGUGCCAGCAGCGGC
rnacentral:rRNA from 1 species